CCCGACUGCUAUUUGGGUGAGAAUAAGCCAUGCGAGUUGAAUGGGAUACCUAAAGUUCCCAUAGCAAACUGCUCAGUAACACAUGAUCAACUUACCCUAUAGAGAAAAAUAACCUCGGGAAACUGAGGAUAAUGUUUCAUAAUUGAAUUGGCUUGGAAAAGUUUUUCAAUGAAAAGGAUAAAAAAAAUGGUUUUUAUCUGCUAUAGGAUAGGAUCGUGUUCGAUUAUGGUUGUUGGUGAGAUAAUGGCUCACCAAGCCGAUAAUCGAUAGGGGCCGUGAGAGCGGGAGCCCCGAGAUGGGUACUGAGACAACGACCCAGGCCUUACGAGGCGCAGCAGGCGCGGAACCUCCGCAAUACACGAAAGUGUGACGGGGUUACCCAAAGUGUUCAAUAGAACUGUGGUAGGUGAGUAAUGUCCACUACUAGAAAGGAGAGGGCAAGGCUGGUGCCAGCCGCCGCGGUAAAACCAGCUCUUCAAGUGGUCGGGAUAAUAUUGGGCUUAAAGCGUCCGUAGCCGGCUUAGCAAGUCUCCUGUUAAAUUCAGCGACCUAAUCGUUGAGCCGCGGGAGAUACUACUAGGCUAGGAGGCGGGAGAGGUCGACGGUAUUUCCGGGGUAGGGGUGAAAUCCUAUAUUCCCGGGAGGACCACCAGUGGCGAAGGCUGUCGACUAGAACGCGCUCGACGGUGAGGGACGAAAGCUGGGGGAGCGAACCGGAUUAGAUACCCGGGUAGUCCCAGCCGUAAACGAUGCGGGCUAGGUGUUGGGGUGGCUACGUGCCACUUCAGUGCCGCAGGGAAGCCAUUAAGCCCGCCGCCUGGGGAGUACGGCCGCAAGGCUGAAACUUAAAGGAAUUGGGCGGGGGAGCACCACAAGGCGUGAAGCUUGCGGUUCA
rnacentral:rRNA from 1 species